CUUCGAUCAUCAAACAGCCACGUAGCGGUUCAAUGAGAUCCCCGGACGGAUAUAGCAUACAAAUGACUGAACCAACAAGGAGAUCGGAGGAAGGAUUGACCAAAAUCGAAGAAAGCUUGCUUCGGGAGCUCGGGUUGUAAUCCAAUCGAAAACACAUUCAGACUCUGCAGUUGUCAGCUGUUCUUCUUGAGGUUCUUUACCACAUUCUCUGGCUCAUAUUUUAUUGGACAAUGGAAGUGUAAAUCUGAAAGAAGAGGAAGAAAAACAGAGUUACUGUUCUGUUCUGAACGCUUGUUGAGUAAUUUUUUGUGAUCUUGAUUUUUCAAUAUUCAACUAAAAUGGUAGGUAUUAUGCA